UACAUGGGGUGCAAACGUUGCUCGGAAUUAUUGGGCGUAAAGCGCGCGUAGGCGGUUACUCAAGUCGGAUGUGAAAGCCCUCGGCUUAACUGAGGAAGUGCACCCGAAACUGAGUAGCUAGAGUACUAAAGAGGGUCGCGGAAUUCCGGGUGUAGCGGUGAAAUGCGCAGAUAUCAGGAGGAACACCUAUUGCGAAGGCAGCUCGCUGGGACGUAACUGACGCUGAGACGCGAAAGCGUGGGGAGCAAACAGG
rnacentral:rRNA from 1 species